rnacentral:rRNA from 1 species
GGUAGCACAGAGAGCUUGCUCUCGGGUGACGAGUGCGGACGGGUGAGUAAUGUCUGGGAAACUGCUGAUGGAGGGGGAUAACUACUGGAAACGGUAGCUAAUACCGCAUAACGUCGCAAGACCAAAGAGGGGGACCUUUCGGGCCUCUUGCCAUCAGAUGUGCCCAGAUGGGAUUAGCUAGUAGGUGGGGUAACGGCUCACCUAGGCGACGAUCCCUAGCUGGUCUGAGAGGAUGACCAGCCACACUGGAACUGAGACACGGUCCCAGACUCCUACGGGAGGCAGCAGUGGGGAAUAUUGCACAAUGGGCGCAAGCCUGAUGCAGCCAUGCCGCGUGUAUGAAGAAGGCCUUCGGGUUGUAAAGUACUUUCAGCGGGGAGGAAGGUGUUGUGGUUAAUAACCRCAGCAAUUGACGUUACCCGCAGAAGAAGCACCGGCUAACUCCGUGCCAGCAGCCGCGGUAAUACGGAGGGUGCAAGCGUUAAUCGGAAUUACUGGGCGUAAAGCGCACGCAGGCGGUCUGUCAAGUCGGAUGUGAAAUCCCCGGGCUCAACCUGGGAACUGCAUUCGAAACUGGCAGGCUAGAGUCUUGUAGAGGGGGGUAGAAUUCCAGGUGUAGCGGUGAAAUGCGUAGAGAUCUGGAGGAAUACCGGUGGCGAAGGCGGCCCCCUGGACAAAGACUGACGCUCAGGUGCGAAAGCGUGGGGAGCAAACAGGAUUAGAUACCCUGGUAGUCCACGCCGUAAACGAUGUCGACUUGGAGGUUGUGCCCUUGAGGCGUGGCUUCCGGAGCUAACGCGUUAAGUCGACCGCCUGGGGAGUACGGCCGCAAGGUUAAAACUCAAAUGAAUUGACGGGGGCCCGCACAAGCGGUGGAGCAUGUGGUUUAAUUCGAUGCAACGCGAAGAACCUUACCUACUCUUGACAUCCAGAGAACUUUCCAGAGAUGGAUUGGUGCCUUCGGGAACUCUGAGACAGGUGCUGCAUGGCUGUCG